rnacentral:rRNA from 1 species
GACAGAGGUGCCAAGCGUUAGGCGGAAUCACUGGGCUUAAAGCGUGUGUAGGCGGAACGUUAAGUGCCUUGUGAAAUCCCACGGCUCAACCGUGGAACUGCUGGGCAUACUGGCGUUCUUGAGCCAGCCAGGGGUCGUCGGAACAAACGGUGGAGCGGUGAAAUGCGUAGAUAUCGUUUAGAACGCCAAAGGCGAAAGCAGACGACUGGGGCUGAGCUGACGCUGAGACACGAAAGCCAGGGGAGCAAACGGG